AUUAUGCUCAUUCUUUUUUUUUUUAACCAGUAAGGAUCUGGAUAAAGAAAAACAUUUUAGAAAACCACUUGUAGAGUACCAUGAACCAGUCUCUCUUCUCCAUUUUAAAAAAUUUAUUGACUCACUUUUUUUCCAUAACUUUUUGAGAUAUUAUUUCAACCACUUUGCAUUUAGAGAAAAAGAGUCAGAGAGUGAUUAAGAAAUCUGCCCAAUGCUAUACUGAUAGAAGCUGGGAGAACUGGGAUUUGAGCUUACAUAGGCUAGUUCUAGCAUUUGUGAAGUUCUCGCCUAAUAAAAAUUAUCUGUAAUCAUAACCAGAGCAAGUCAUUUCUAACCUCCUGUCUAUAGACACGCGGAUACAUUUGUAAUGUUUUUGUUUGUUUGUUUUUAGCACGACAGAUCAAUUCCUGCUGGCAUUAUAGUUCUUUAACUAUCAUAGCUUCUCUGAUUUUUCAACACAUCUGUCAUCCGUAUUCUGCAGGCAUAGCCAACUCUGUCAGUGUCUCCUCAGGCAAUCAGAAUCAACAGACAGAAUGUAGGACAGAAAACUGGCUGCAAACAUGUUGGAAGGGCUGGAGGAGCGAAAGAGGGAAGAUCUGUUACCUAGAGAUAGUAACUUCCAGAAGUUACCACUAUACUAGUGCAGGAGAAGCAGAAAGGAAGAUGCUGCUACCCAGAGCCCACAGUCAUUGUGCCCCUGAUGCCGCUGGAACCCCACUGCAGCUGCUUUACAGGAAGCAGGGAAUUAGCGCUCUUGCUGAUGCUACAGGUAUCCAGGAUCCAAAAGUCAUCAGCCGCUGUCCCUGUUGCAGCCUAGGGAAACUGUCCCACUGAGGUUGUUGGGGUACCUGCUACUGCAUCUACUGUCUGAACCAUGUUGCCUGAGCAGAUGUCCAGGGCUCAGGCUUGCCUGCUGCUGUUACUGCUGCCACCAUGUUUAUCAGAGCUACUUCAAGAAGAGAAGAAAUCCUCCUCAUUUCCAGUUUUUUCCAGUGCCUCCCAUUGCUUCCCAGAAUGCCAAAUUCUCUUUGAGAGACAGCUGAAAGGAAGGUUUGGAAAAGACUCUGGUGUAAGCAGAUUCUGCUUCCCUGCAAUAGGGGGAAAGCAUAGGGUGGAACUGGAGCUGAGAGCUAAUCACGAAUGAGCAAAUCAGUCUUCAAGACAUUUACCUUUCCUUGAAACGUUUCCCUUCUUUUACCGUGUUUUCCAUGUCAUUAUUUUUCCACAAUUCUGCAUCAUAUUCUGUUAACUAUUAAUGCCCUGGAUAAGUUUAUUUGCUCUUUCUUAGGGUUAAUUUUUCUCCUUUUCUUCGAAGCUUUAGUUUGCAGGUUCAGCUUGUGUGGGAAUUUUCAUCUCCCUCCUCUUCAAGACUCCUUGGAUAUCAGUUUUUUGGUUGCCUUCACCAACUCUCCCCCCACCAUCUCUAGACCAGGGCAUGGUCUUAGUUGGUGGCUUGGACUCCUGUGGCUUGGAGUCUUUGGGGAUAUUAGAGAUCCAGUCACUGAGCUGGCAAAGGGAACACUGUCCUUGCUUCCAGCUUUAUGAAGAACGCUUUGCUCUGUCACCCCACGUGAGUCCAACUCUUGGCUGCCUACACUGCCUGAGGCUUCAGUUCUGGCAUCGUGCUGCAUGUGAUCUAUUAUCCUGCUUUUGAAUAUGCCUAUGACUUUUCUUUAUAUAUUUUUAAAAAUGUUAUUAUUGGUAUGUUUACAGUGAAGGGAAGAAUGUGAAGCAUGAACUCAAGAGUCACAGUAAUGAUAAAUUUUAAUGAUUGUAAUUGUCCUAUCUGUCAUAAUACAUUUAUUUUGUUGAUUUGUUUGGAUUUUCUAGGUAAAUAAUCAUGUUAUUCAAGGAUAAUGAAUGCAGCCACCAUGUAAUCAUCACUGACUCCAUGGCCAUGAGAAAAGAGACCUAAGAAAUGAUGCCCAUCCAGAAGAGUGAAGACUUCCUGAAAAUGUUCUUUUAACCUAAGAUGUAGGUUAAGAGGAGUGAAAAAAUGUUCUGUUUCUGACUGAUGAUGGAGCAACAAAGGAACUCCUAAAGAAGAAAUCAUCCAUUCAGUGAGAGCAAAUGAACACUCCAACAGACUGAAACAAAGCAUCUUUACAGGAGAUGUGAAUGCGAGAAAGCAAAGAGAACUACAGUCAGGGUCUCCGCUGGCAUGGCCCAAGCCCACCGUGGCAUGAUCCAGAGAGACGAGUCAGCAGAGCACUAUGGGCAGCUCCCAUACUCUUCGCAGAUCAACAAGCCAGCAUAUAACCCAGGGAGAUAGAUAAUAGUGAUGCUGUGCUCUGUAGAGGGUAGUGGCAACAGUGGGAUUUCUUCUGGAAUAAAUCUGUAGUGAGCCAGAUGUUUCUGCUGACUAUAUUACUUCUGACAGUGUAUAAUCCAAAAUUGUUUCCUUGGCCUUCCAAAAAGUUUUAUAAGCUCCCUAACGGCUGCAAUAAAUCCCUUUCUUCUUAAA
rnacentral:lncRNA from 1 species